rnacentral:rRNA from 1 species
GAGCUCGUAGGCGGUCUGUCGCGUCGGAUGAUGAAAGCCCUGGGCUUAACCCCGGGUCUGCAUUCGAUACGGGCAGACUAGAGUGUGGUAGGGGAGAUCGGAAUUCCUGGUGUAGCGGUGAAAUGCGCAGAUAUCAGGAGGAACACCGGUGGCGAAGGCGGAUCUCUGGGCCAUUACUGACGCUGAGGAGCGAAAGCGUGGGGAGCGAACAGGAUUAGAUACCCUGGUAGUCCACGCCGUAAACGGUGGGAACUAGGUGUUGGCGACAUUCCACGUCGUCGGUGCCGCAGCUAACGCAUUAAGUUCCCCGCCUGGGGAGUACGGCCGCAAGGCUAAAACUCAAAGGAAUUGACGGGGGCCC